UGCAAGAUCUUCAAGCUGUUUCUUUCCGGGUCCAGUGCCUGCUGCGAGCAACGCGCUGUUGUAGGGGCGAAGCCAAGAACUACUUCUCGUGGAGCUGAGGUUCAGCGGUGUGUGUGUGGGACACUCACAAUAAACAUCAUAAAUAAGUAAAUUCUAUAAGAGGCUGCGUAGCAAAAUGGAGUCUGCGUUUCAAUCCCAGAUUUUCCACUUACUAGCUGUGUUACCCCGAGCAAAUUGCUUCAUCCUUAUGUGCUUCACUUUCCUCCUCAGUUAAAUGAGGAUCAUCAUAGUGUCUACUUAAGAGUUGGUGUGAGAGUUGAAUGAGGAUACUCUCUGUGAGCCCAGCUGCUAUGUUGUGAGGAAGCCCAAGCCACGUGAGGAGUCUCCCAGAUAAGGUCCCAGCUGAAACCAGCAUCAACCACCAGAGAAGUGAGUGAACAUUGAGAUGAUUCCGGCCCCCAGGCUUUGAGCCGUCCCAGCUGACACCAAGAGGAGGAGAGAGAGAACUGUUCCCAUCAAGCCCGGCCCAAACUGAGAGAAAUUCUGGAGUCUGGGGAGAAAAAGGAUGGCCCUGCUACUGGCGUUCUAAGCCUAGGGAUGCAAGGACCACUCUGGGGACCGGAUUCAUUUCCUGCACCUCCACAUCUAAAGGAUUUUCUAGGAAAAUGAGUAUUUGCCAGGCCCCCCAUGUGGGGAGGGGACGGAUUUCUGGGUAAUCUCUCGAUAUGAACUACUUGCACGCCUUGGCUGCUGGGUCCUGAGCCCCCCACCUGAAUGAGCGCGUGGGAGACGCUGGCAGUGGCCACGUGAAGGCAGAAGAAACGACUAAACUUCCUGCCCCGGGUGACAAAGACAGGGUCUGCUUUGUGAAGAGACCAGAAGAAAAUUCCACCAAGAAAGCCGUCUGGGGAGGGGGACGUGGACAAAAUGCUAUUAUAUACCGAACAAUUAAAUGUAGGGGAGCGAGCGGGGGGCGCAUAAGGCCACUCCAGACGUGAUCCGUGCGUAAUCACAUUGAGGAUUAAAAUGAAAAUAUGCGAUUCCAGUGACUUUCACAUUUCCCCCCCCUUCCCCGAACAUGAUUCCGAAAUACAAUAUUUUUCCCUCUCACCCUCCUCCAUCCUUAAUUGCCAGUUGAUUGUUCUCAGCGUUCUUCGCAAACCCACGCCCCAGCAUCAGCCACUGGCGCCAAUUUAUAUAAGAAUUUAGCUUCGGUCUGCGCUGCGGCUGCUUUGAACCGGGGUGCUGGGAAAAAACCUGCUUUCGGCUGAAGUCUCAGGGCUGUUGGGGGCUCCCUGGGGAAGCAGAAGAAAACCCCACUUGCAUUUGAGACUUGGGCCUUGGUGGGUAGAGUGGGGGCCGGCCAGGGAGGGGAUGAGGGACCAGGGAUGGUUCGCUCUGGGGCUGCCUGGCCCCCGGGAGAAGCGCCUCGGGCCCCUCUGACGGCUACUCUUCUGCGGAGGACGACGCAGGACUCUCCUCAUCCGACAUCGGGGCAAACUGAAACGAGAGGCAGAAUUCCUUUUGUUUGGCAUCCUUUCCUGUGCUAUGAGGCGCCGACUUUGUUGGCUGGCCCCGCGCCUGCCGUGAGUGAACAAGAGGCCUUGGUUCCUUGGCCUCGAGGAGGUGACGUUGGGGAGAUGCUUCGGAGCAGCUCACAGAUGAAUGCAGUGGAGGGUUUUUCCUGAGGGAUAGGGGGUGGA